rnacentral:rRNA from 1 species
UUUAUGGAGAGUUUGAUCCUGGCUCAGGAUGAACGCUGGCGGCGUGCCUAAUACAUGCAAGUCGAGCGAACGGACGAGAAGCUUGCUUCUCUGAUGUUAGCGGCGGACGGGUGAGUAACACGUGGAUAACCUACCUAUAAGACUGGGAUAACUUCGGGAAACCGGAGCUAAUACCGGAUAAUAUUUUGAACCGCAUGGUUCAAAAGUGAAAGACGGUCUUGCUGUCACUUAUAGAUGGAUCCGCGCUGC